GAGAAGUUUAUAAAGAUUGAACAGCCUCCUGCAUCAUUUUUACAAGCCAUGGAAGAAUAUGUAAAAGAAGCUCCACGGGUUUCAACAGUUCGUAAGGAACAGGCUGCUGAUAAUAAACUGGCUGCCCCUAAAGAAGUUUUGGCUAUCGAGUACAAGAAGGAACCAGCAGCGCAAGUGGAACAAACGGUGGCACCUCCACCAGCCCCGUCUCCCCCACCACCUGAACCAGUUAAAGUAGAACCAGUCGUAAAUGAACAACCUGACUUGUUGGGUUUGAAUGAUCCUGUACCUGAGGCUACUUC
rnacentral:misc_RNA from 1 species